UACUAGCGGUCCAAGUGGCAGCCAUGUUUAUUGGGUCUAAAACAUCCGUAGCUUGCUUGGUAAGUCUCUUGUGAAAUCCGGCAUCUCAAGUGUCGGGCGUGCAAGAGAUACUGCCUUGCUAGAGACCGGGAGACGUAAGGAGUACGGUUAGGGUAGCGGUAAAAUGCGUUGAUCCUUUCUGGACUAACGAUAGCGAAGGCACCUUACGAGAACGGAUCUGACAGUGAGGGAUGAAGGCUAGGGGCGCAAAACGGAUUAGAUACCCCAGUA
rnacentral:rRNA from 1 species